GAUGAACGCUGGCGGCGUGCCUAAUACAUGCAAGUCGAGCGAACGGACGAGAAGCUUGCUUCUCUGAUGUUAGCGGCGGACGGGUGAGUAACACGUGGAUAACCUACCUAUAAGACUGGGAUAACUUCGGGAAACCGGAGCUAAUACCGGAUAAUAUUUUGAACCGCAUGGUUCAAAAGUGAAAGACGGUCUUGCUGUCACUUAUAGAUGGAUCCGUGCUGCAUUAGCUAGUUGGUAAGGUAACGGCUUACCAAGGCAACGAUGCAUAGCCGACCUGAGAGGGUGAUCGGCCACACUGGAACUGAGACACGGUCCAGACUCCUACGGGAGGCAGCAGUAGGGAAUCUUCCGCAAUGGGCGAAAGCCUGACGGAGCAACGCCGCGUGAGUGAUGAAGGUCUUCGAAUCGUAAAACUCUGUUAUUAGGGAAGAACAUAUGUGUAAGUAACUGUGCACAUCUUGACGGUACCUAAUCAGAAAGCCACGGCUAACUACGUG
rnacentral:rRNA from 1 species